rnacentral:rRNA from 1 species
UAGGGAAUCUUCGGCAAUGGACGAAAGUCUGACCGAGCAACGCCGCGUGAGUGAAGAAGGUUUUCGGAUCGUAAAACUCUGUUGUUAGAGAAGAACAAGGACGUUAGUAACUGAACGUCCCCUGACGGUAUCUAACCAGAAAGCCACGGCUAACUACGUGCCAGCAGCCGCGGUAAUACGUAGGUGGCAAGCGUUGUCCGGAUUUAUUGGGCGUAAAGCGAGCGCAGGCGGUUUCUUAAGUCUGAUGUGAAAGCCCCCGGCUCAACCGGGGAGGGUCAUUGGAAACUGGGAGACUUGAGUGCAGAAGAGGAGAGUGGAAUUCCAUGUGUAGCGGUGAAAUGCGUAGAUAUAUGGAGGAACACCAGUGGCGAAGGCGGCUCUCUGGUCUGUAGCUGACGCUGAGGCUCGAAAGCGUGGGGAGCAAACA